GCACUCUUCUUUCAUAAAAAAAACCCUUAUGUUUAAACAAUGAUUUGUUCAAUUGACCCUUCACUAAAUUGGUUUCCAUGGCCGAGCAGUGGUGUAAAGCAUGUUGCCACUGGAGUCUAGAGCAGUGGUGAUGCGUUCUCUGGAGCAACAGUGAAUCAUUUUCAGCUUUAAAAAGCUUCUUUCUCACUUCACUAGCUGAAACGGUUCACCUGAUUUUUUAUUGAAUUCACCUUAUUUUAACAUUCAACAACUCUGUGAACAAGCAGAGCACUUCUGUAGCAUCCCUGCAACAAAGUGAUGUCAUGCCAGACGUGUUGAUGUUUCUGUGUGGAGUCAAAAGGGUCUAACUCUGUGCCAGUGCAUAACUAUAGAUUUGUUAAAAAAUAAUGAGAAUAUAUAUAGUAUAUACAUAUCGUCACUGCCCGAUGAAACUCACGUAUGUCCAAAACGGAUAGAUAAAAAAAAACUUAUGUUUAAACAAUGAUUUGUUCAAUUGACCCUUCACUAAACCCCGCCCCCUUUAGUUACUGUUGCUUCCCCUGUCAAGCUUUUGCAUCUGGCAAGUCUAUUACAGUAUGUAUGCACCAGUGUCAGACAUUCCCAAGGUGAUAGAUAAUUCGUAAUUUUUGGUAGAGGUAGACUCCGAUUAAUGGAGUUGUGUUCAUGGCUUUACAAUUAGAAAUUAAUGAAUUUGCUGACUAGAUGCUGCAUUCGUAGAAAAAAACAGCAGGAACCGUCAGUCUAUGGUCAAGGCUGACAGGACAUAAAUAUUAGCAAUACCUCAAACAAAAAUACCUUUACCAAUCCCCAAAAAAUCGAACCCAAAUGUUUAUUGUUAUGAUUAUUAACAUCUAUUCACAUAAGUUUAUCCAGCUGGUUACUUAUAUCCUUGAUUUAGCUGGCUAAGCUGCAUAUUUUAAGUAAAUAAUGAGAGAAAGCAAACUACGCUAUAUUGCCAAAAGUUUUGGGAUACCACUCUAAAUAAUUGUACUCAGGUGCUCCAAUCACUUCUAUAGCUUCAGGUGUAUAAAAGGUGUAUAAAAGCAAUCAACUAAUGCAGAGUUCAGACUGCAUGAUUUUAGCCCAGAUUUUGACUCGCCGACAGGUUUUGAGAAAUCGCAGACAAAUGCCUAACACUGCAUGAAAAGAGCUGUAUACGGACAAAUACAGGAUGGGAAAUCCCUGCUAAACUUUAGGUUUGCCAGAUUUUUGAGGCAGAGUGCUUGGAAAGGUAAUACACCAAAGUAAACUUGUGAAACAUCCAGAAACUUUUCAUUUGUGGAUGUAUAUAGGAACUGGUGGAAGUUUCCAGGAAUCCUUACAGCUGGUUGUGAGGAGAGGUGGGUGUGAGGUGUGAAGGGCUUUUUAUAUGUUAAUGACCCACAGGUAGAGGUGUCUUCUUUGUUUUCAGAGCUGAGUGGGGUGGGGGGUUAACCAUGAGCUCGUUUACAUGCACACCAAUAAUGCGAUUUUGUCAAUACUGCGAUUAUACGUUACCUCAUGUAAACGCAAUAAUUCGAUAAAAAUAAUGCGAUUAAGCUCAUAAUCGCAGUAAUUAUAAUCGCAUUAAAAGAGGUGGCGUACGCCGUUUAUAAUCGCCGUACGCGUCCAUGUAAACGCUUUAAUCGCAUUUAUACCGCACUAAUUAAGUGCACGUGUGUUUAAGUCACGCACGUUAAGCACAAAUUCGUUUUAAACUUGACAUUAGGAAGUUUUAUGUGAACUCUGCCAACACGUGUCGCUGUCAGCAGUCUGUCUUCAUUCAGAAAUAGCUCAAAUAACACGACAUCAGUGUAUUAAACCAUUAAGGGACAUUAUAACAAUAAUUAUAAUAAUAAAUAUAUUAGUGACCACAUCAUAAUGAUAACUUCAUGCUAAUUCGCUCAACCAGCGCGGCAUUACCUAUUGGAUAUUUCUUGUAAUAAAAACUUUUUUGCAAUUGUUUACAUGUCACUGAAUAGAGCUGUUCUUGUUGCAUUUACACAGCGGGAAACCAGCAGAUGUCCUCAACUCGCUGCGUUUCGCGUAACUGAACAAUGAAUGUAGUAGUGUGUAAUAAUAACUUACCUUUUGGCGUAGUCAGUGUGGUAGAAAAAGCAUUAAGUAGUGAAUUUCACAGCAACUGCAUCAGCGCUGGAUACCUGAGGUAAUUUUGUGUUAUAGACCUCAGCAAUGAAUGAGCUUUACUGCAUUUAAGUGCGCGUGCACUUCAAGUUAAAAUAGAUUUGAUUGUCAAUGGUUUAUCGUUCAUCAUGUGCCAAAAUCGCUAUCGUUAUAGUUAUUGUGUGAACUCUGCUAUUAUCUUUAAUAUAAAACGAUUUUUAAAACUAUAUUUUUAUAUCGUUUUAAUGUGAACGCCCUUUAAAGGCACUGUCAUAUUUAUAUAUUCAUCACGGCACCGGAUAAUGAAAUACAUCCAUAACAACGUGUUUGUCAUUUAACGUAAGUAAAUUAAAACAGUGGACCAUAUAUGUGAGUUCAUCAUUAGUGCUCUGCAUUGGGCUAUGUGUGAUUAAUCCGAAAAUAAAAACUGCAUGUAAACCGGAGUGAAGAGGUUAGCUCCAAUCAUGUAAACAUCUUACUGCGAUUAAGUCCUUACUCUCAUUAUUGGAAAUAAUCGCAUUAUUGGUGUGCAUGUAAACGAGCUGCAUGUCUCUUUAAGACAGCACAUACAGUAUUGUGGUACAUAAAAACUGUUUUCUAAAUACGUUUAUUAUUAAUAUAAUUUAAUCAGUCUAUUUAAGAAACUUAGCAUCAUUCAAAAUAACUAAAAUUCAAUGGACACAAUUACAAUUUUAAUGUGUGAAAAUUAUGUCUCUGACUCAAGAGAAAUGCAACAAAUGUUAUUUCAGAAUAUUUAUUUCCAACACUUUGAAAACAUGUCUCCAACUGCCCUAUGUUAGAAUAUUGUGCACGUAUAUCUCAAUGCUGCAUACAUCGUUUAAAAGAAGCUGCUCAAAUGACAUCAUGUAACACAUUUUUGCUAGCUAGGAUGUUGAUAAAUUAGUCAGUGAAAUGUAAAGCUGCUUGAUUUUGCUGAUGUCUCAUGAUUUGAAGUUCACUGUUUCUAUUGUUAUUAUAAUUCUACCCUAACAUUUCAUUAAAUCUUUUAAAAUAGAAACAAAAAUAUCAAUAGACAGGUCCAUAAUCUAAAAGACAGUCUUUCACAUGUGAAUGCAAAACAUGUUGGGUGAUACAGACUGAUAAACUCGGGUAAACAUAUCUGCAGAUACCUGUCAGCUACUGUACUUCUAAUCCAGAGGUGCCCAAAGUUGGGCCACAAUAGUUCUUAAAUUUGGCCCAUCAUGCCACGUUAGAUAAGGAAAAAGAAUAAAAGUCAUUGACGCAGAUGUUCAUAUUUUUAAUUAAACAUUUUCUAAAAUGUAUCAUUUUUUGUUGUAUUUUUACAUUACAAAAAUGUAAAUUAAUAUUAAAUGUAAGGGAUUAAAGUGAUUUUUUUUAUGUUUCAUGCAUACUUGAAGGUGUAUAAAAUGCAUCACGAAACUUAAUGAACUUGGGUACUACAGGCUAAAAAUGAAGAGGUUUUGGCAGUGGCACACAGAGAAAAGGAUAUUUAAAAUUGAUUGGCAAAAUGAUUUUUUUUUUUUUACAAAAAGCCUUGGAAAAUAAAACUGGAUUAGUUAUGCAUAAACAGAGUAAUGUUUGCUUUUUUAUUUUUUAAAUAUUAGAAAAUUAUAAAUUAGGGGUUAUCAGGGCAACUUUAAUUUUAAUAUAACACAACAACAUUUACUUUUGGCCACGGCCCUCAGUCAGGUUUGGCCCUUGUAAGGAAAAUGUUCGGGCACCAAUCAAUGUGUAGUCUAUCUGAGGAGGUAACUGUUAGCAUAUGAUAAUGCAUGCUUGUACAAAGUCAGACCACAUAUUAUCAUGUUUGUCUUCAAUUAAUCAAUUUAAAUAAAAGAGAUGGGGACUUUAUAAUAUAAUAAGGGUCCAUAUAUCACAGUGAUAAAAGACAUACAUGUAAUUUUACAUUAACAUGAACUAAUGCUGAGUUAAGGCAUAUACUAAUCAUAAACUAUGAAGAGUCAUCAUUAACUACAACAUGACAUGUUUUUCAUUGUUAGUUAAUGCAUUCAUUUACAAUAAAUUAAUUUUUGAGUUCAUGUUGUAAUUAAGUAAGUUCAGUAAGUUACAUGUCUUAACUCAGCAUUAGUUUAUAUUUACUUAUAUUUAAGUAAGAAUUAAUUUAGGUAUACAUUCAAUGUUUCCAAUGAUGAGCAGUUAAUCCACUAAACCCAGAGAUAAUUCCUGAGGCAUGUUUAAAGAGUUUUGUAUUUCAUCAAGAAAGUGCUGAUUCACAAAGAUUUUAUAUUUAAGAAAAUCUGAGCAUCAUUCAAAAUAACAGUUAACAUGUUUGUCAACUAAACAUGUUCUGUCAACGUUAUAAACAAAACAUAUUAUAUUAUAUUAAUAUAUUUUAUUUUUUAUUAAUGAUCAAGUAUAAAGAACAAUGCAUAGUGUGAAAACGCGGAUUAUUAAAAAGUAUAAAAAAUGCAAGCAGAGGAUCAAUCAAACCUCGUUUGGAAUGAUGUAGUGCAUCGAAUGCAUCUUGGAACUCGUAGUCCGUUUACGUCUAACUUACAGCAGCAUAUCUAUGCUACAGCAGUGACAACGCCAAAGAAAAGGACUACAUUUCCCAGAAUGCACCUGCACCCACUCAUCUGCCCCCACCCUUCAGGUGCGACCGCUUCACCUAUGGGCUUGACGGGAAAAUUUAAAAUCGCGAACCGUUACAGCCUGGACUACUCGGUGUCUUUGUUUGUUUGCUCAUCAACAGUAAGGUAAGUUUGAUUUAAUUAAUUUGUCUGCAUCGCGCUGAUCGGUUGCCUAUUUGUUCAUAUUAUGUUAUUUACUAUGAUUCGUUUUUGUCUUUAUUAGUGAUGGGAGAAACUAAGCUUUUCGAAGCUUCAAAUCAAUUUAAUUAAAUAUGUCUAAAAACAAAAAGUAGACAACAUGGCAGUGUUAUUAGUCAGAAGGAUAAAUGUUUUAUGAACUUUCAUAAUAAAACUGACCCGAGUUCACCUAAACUUAUUAGACACUGGUCAUGUGAUCAACUCCCCCUAGUGGUGAACCAUCAGAUUUUCGAAACGUUUCGAAACAGUUAUGACGUAAUGAAGCCUCGUUUGCUAAAAUCACGUGACUUUGGCCAGUUUGAAACAAGCUCCGAACCACUGAUUCGAAACAAAAGAUUCGUAAAUGUUUCGACACCUCAUGAAGCAGUGCUUCGAAAACGACCAUCACUAGUCUUUAUACUAGAACUGUUUAAAGCACAAACAGUAAAAUAUUAAGGUUAUACGUGGUACACAGCAGUUAACAUGAGGUUAAAAAUACGCGAAGUAACAUUCAAACGGGGCUGUUAAAAGAAUCAAUUCGAUGUUUACAUUUUUAAAAACAAAAAGUUAAAGAAGCCAAGAUGAGACGUUCUUUGCUUAAAACAAACAAAACAACAGUAUCUUGUGUGUUGGAAAUGUUAGCAGCUAGCAAGUGUCUCUCUGCUCUUUUAAAUGAUACACAGACGAUCUUUUGUUGUUUAAAAGCUCAAUGCUUUAGUGCUGGUAGAUGCUGCUUAUUUUUCAAGACGGGUUUAAUAGCUUUAUAUUGAUUUGUAACAAAGCCAGCUUCACUUUGAGAGAACCCAGAUGCUAAUUGUAAAGAAGCUUGCAGUCAUAAUAUAUUUUAACGUAAUAUGUUUGCUGUUCUUCAUCUCUUUAAAUAUGAAGUCUAUCCAUGUUUGUGUUUACAGAGGUCAUGUACACUGUGGUCAACUUUGUGGACGCUGAAGAGGUUUCUGGGUAAAGAUGAUAGAAAUAAUGAAGUAACAGUGGAAGCUAAAACAUCAGACUGAUCCAGGCACUGAAGAAAUUGAGGUCACUGCAAUCUGGCCAAAAUGAUACAACUAUAUUGAAGUAGCCUACUGUAAUAAAGCUGCAGAACAACACAGAGACUCUGAGGACAUCAACACAGAAAAUGAAGGCUCCAAAGGGAUGUAUGUCCAGAUGAGGGUGCAUCAACGUUACCUUUGCUGACAAGUAUAUGCUUUGCAAUGUAAAACCUAACAGUUAACUUAACUCAAACCAUUUAAGGAAAUCGGUUGCCUUAAACCAUUAAGUUUUAAAAAACAUACAU